UCCCUACUGAGUUCUGCAAGGGCAACAUUGAAGCUGAGGGGGAGGGAGUGGCAGGCAUCUCAGACGCAGCUGUGCUGAUGUCUCUGACGAGAAGUACGCCGAUGUUCUCUGGUGGCUAAAAGAUAAAGCACCUCUUGAAGGACGACU